UACGUAGGGUGCGAGCGUUAAUCGGAAUUACUGGGCGUAAAGCGUGCGCAGGCGGUUCGUCGUGUCCGAUGUGAAAGCCCCGGGCUCAACCUGGGAAUGGCAUUGGAAACUGGCGGACUCGAGUGUGGCAGAGGGGGGGUGAAUUCCGCGUGUAGCAGUGAAAUGCGUAGAGAUGCGGAGGAACACCGAUGGCGAAGGCAGCCCCCCUGGGCUAACACUGACGCUCAGGCACGAAAGCGUGGGGAGCAAACAGG
rnacentral:rRNA from 1 species